rnacentral:rRNA from 1 species
AUACGGAGGAUGCAAGCGUUAUCCGGAUUUAUUGGGUUUAAAGGGUGCGUAGGCGGUUUGCUAAGCGGGAGGUGAAAUGCCGGCGCUCAACGUCGGAAGUGCCUCCCGAACUGGGGGACUGGAAUGACUCUGCCGUGGGAGGAAUGUGUAGUGUAGCGGGGAAAUGCUUAGAGAUUACACAGAACACCGAUUGCGAAGGCAUCUCACGAAGGGUUGAUUGACGCUGAGGCACGAAAGCGUGGGGAUCAAACAGGAUUAGAUACCCUGGUAGUCCACGCAGUAAACGAUGAUGGCUAACCGCUGGGCUUAUCAGUUCAGUGGCCAAGCGAAAGCGAUAAGCCAUCCACCUGGGGAGUACGACCGCAAGGUUGAAACUCAAAUGAAUUGACGGGG